rnacentral:rRNA from 1 species
GCGGUAAUUCCAGCUCCAAUAGCGUAUAUGUAAAUUGUUGCGGUUGAAAAGCUCGUAGUUGGACUUCUGGCGUCCGCMUUCGGUCCGCCUCGCGUGAGUACUGUUUGCGGUCGUCGUUUCUGUCGACGGUGCGCGUCGGACUUCACUGGCCGGUGCGCUCUCUGUCGGCGAUGUUACUUUGAGGAAAUCAGAGUGCUCAAAGCAAGCGUUCGCUCGUGACUUCACUAGCAUGGAAUAACACAGAUGGGCUCUUUUUCGCAACGUUGGUCUGCGUCAACUGAGCAACGAUCGAUAGAGACGGUCGGGGGCAUUCGUAUUGCGCAGUUAGAGGUGAAAUUCUCCGAUCUGCGCAAGACGCACUAAUGCGAAAGCAGUUGCCAAGGACGUUCUCUUAUGAUCAAGAGCGAAAGUCGGGGGAUCAAAGAUGAUUAGAUACCGUCGUAGUCCCGACCAUAAAUGAUGCCGACUGAGCGUCGGCGACUCGGCCGUCGGCCGGACGUCGGCGCUCUUGAGAGAAAUUAAAGUCUUG